CUCUCUCUUUGCCUACUGCCAUCCAGGAAGACGUGACUUGCUUCUUCUUGCCUUCCACUAUGAUUGUGGGAAGGCCUCCCCAGUCAUGUGGAACUGUAAGUCCAUUAAACCUCUUUUUCUUCCCAGUCUCAGGUAUGUCUUUAUCAGCAGCAUGAAAAUGGACUAAUACAGUAAAUUGGUACCAGUAGAGGGGGGUGCUGCUGGAAAGAUACCUGAAAAUGUGGAAGCAACUUUGGAACUGGGUAACAGGCAGAGAUUGGAACAGUUUGGAGGGUUCAGAAGAAGACAGGAAUAUGUGGAAAAGUUUGGAACUUCCUAGAGGCUUGUUGAAUGGCUUUGCUCAAAAUGCUGAUAGUGAUAUGGACAAUAAAGUCCAGACUGAGGUGGUUUCAGAUGGAAAUGAGGAACUUGUUGGAAACUGGAGCAAAGGUGACUCUCAUUAUGUUUUAGCAAAGAGACUGGUGGCAUUUUGCCCCUGCUCUAGAGACUUGUGGAACUUUGAACUUGAGAGAGAUGAUUUAGGGAAUCUGGUGGAAGAAAUUUCUAAGCAGUAAAGCAUUCAAAAGGUGACUUGGGUGCUGUUAAAGGCAUUCAGGUUUAUAAGGGAAGCAGAGCAUAAAAGUUUGGAAAAUUUGCAGCCUGACAAUGUGAUAGAAAACAAAAUCCCAUUUUUCUGAGAAGAAAUUCAAGCUGGUUGCAGAAAUUUGCAUAAGUAAUGAGAAGUCGAAUGUUAAUCCUCAAGACAAUGGGGAAAAUGUCCUCAGGGCAUGUCAGAGUUCUUCACAGCAGCCCCUCCCAUCACAGGCCCAGAGGCCUAGGAGGAAAAAGUGGUUUUGUUGGCUGGGUCCAGGGUCCCCAUGCUGUGUGCAGCCUAGGGACUUGGUGCCCUGCAUCCCAGCUGCUUCAGCCAUGGCUGAAAGGGGCGAAUGUAGAACGUGGGUUGUGGCUUCAGAGGGUGCAAGCCUUGGCAGCUUCCACAUGGUAUUAAGCCUGCCAGUCCACAGAAGUCAGGAAUUAGAGUUUGGAAACCUCUGCCUAGAUUUCAAAGGAUGUAUGGAAAUGCCUGGAUGUCCAGGCAAAAGUUUGCAGCAGGGGCAGGGAUCUCAUGGAGACCCUCUGCUAGAGCAGUGCAGAAGGGAAAUCUGGGGUCAGAGCUCCCACACAGAGUCCCUGCUGGCGCACUGCCUAGUGGAGUGGGCACUGUGAGCAGAGGGCCACUAUCUUCCAGACCCCAGAAUGGUAGAUCCACUGACAGCUUGCACCAUGUGACUGGAAAAGCCACAGACUAUCAACGCCAGCCUGUGAAAGCAGCUGGGAGAGAGGCUGUACCCUGCAAAACCACAGGGGCGGAGCUACCCAAGACCAUGGGAACCCAUCUCUUGCAUCAGUGUGACCUGGAAAUGAGACACAGACUCAAAGGAGAUCAUUUUGGAGAAUUAAGAUUUGAGUGACCAGCUGGAUUUCAGGUGCUGUGUGAAGAAUGGAAACAUGCAACAAUAAAGACACCAGUCCUGGUGGACCUGAUGGCCUAUGUCUGGUGUGGCGGGGGACAGAUAAGUAAACAGAUCGUCCUAUACGGGGUAGCCAACGCUAUCAUCUGAUAGAAGUAAUGUAUUAGUCUGUUCUCAUGCUGCUGUAAAGAACUACCCAAGACUGGGUAAUUUAUAAAGAAAAGAGGUUUGAUUGACUCACAGUUCCACAGGCUGUACAGGAGGCAUGGCUUGGGAAGCCUCGAGAAAUUUACAAUCAUGGCGGAAGGCAAAGGGGAAGCCAGCAUGUCUCACAUGGCAGGAGCAGGAGGAAUAGAGAGCAGGAGGAGGUGCUACACAUUUCAAAAAGCCAGAUCUCAUGAGAACUCACUCACUAUCAUGAGAACAGCAAGGGGGAAGUCCGCCCCCAUGAUCCAGUCACCUCCCACCAGACCCCUCCUCCAACACUGGGAUUACAAUUUGACAUGUGAUUUGGGUGGGGACACAGGGUCAAACCAUAUCAGGUAACAAAACUCCAGUCUCAAAAAUGGUAAGUCAAUUUUAUUGCUAUUAUAAUUCUUAAAACUGGUGUUGAUGAUGAUGAUGAUAGCAGUUAUUUGUACAGUAACAUGCCCAAGACAAAUCCCAAGAGAGGAACAUAAACAAAAUCAAGUGGGGAGAUUUGACUUUGCCCAAGUUCUUCUCAACUAGAAAUUUCUAAAGGUGUUUUGUGUGGAGUGCUGCGCUAUGUGCAGUUUUCAGCUAUUCAACCUCAAGGAUGUCAAAUUGUUGGAAGAGAUUCAAAGAAGGAUAAUCAAACUUGGAUGGAGCUGACUUAAAGAAAUGGGCUAACCUCCAGAAAGAAUGCCAUUGAAUCCAGAGAGAGGUGCCGUUGAAUCAGCCCUUGCUGAUGAAGCCUCUUCACUGUACUGCUCAGACCUCUCCAUCCUGGUGGCAAGGGCUUAGACCAUUAUUCAUGGUCUGACUGGCCUCGAGGUGGCUGUCUCGCCUUUGAAAAAGGGCAGACACAGAGCAUGUUCAGAGCACGGAGCCAUACUGUGCGAUUUCUUCAAAGAGAGCUUAACCACAGAAUUUGGAUUAAUGAAUGACGUAACUGCUUCAGGGCAACACACCCUCACUGCAGCUGCUUAGCCCAGGAAGCAGCAAGGUCAAUACAAGGAGAGCCACAGGCCUGGGGAGAUGCAUGCCUUCCUUCCUGGCCACGUGGAUCUCACUACUUAGCCCAGAUGGCCUGCGAGAAGGACAAAGCCAAGCACUUCACAACACUGUCAGUUGCUGUCCUGAAGAAGGUGGCCAGGAGCUCUAGAAGGAUUCAAAGCCCCAGGGAUUUUUGGUUUUUAUGUAUACACUUCUCUUUACAUACUUGUUCCUCAACAUCCAAUCAGCCUUGCAGGUUUGUCCCCGCUCCUAGCAUUCAGAAACACUCAAGAGCAGGGUGGGUCAGAGCUCUCCACCACAUACGCAGCAGAGUGAAAGAAGCUGCCCUGCAGGACAGCUCCAGGCUCAUGGCCACCCCUCCUCACAUGCAUACCUCCUCCUCUUCCACCAAACAACAACAAACUCCUUCAUGUAGCAUUCACGCCCUCCUCUUGUGGCCUCUACCUGCCAUCCCACACCAAUCCCUUUUUAUGUCCCCACAGGUACCCAGGAGUCUCCCCUAACUAAAUUCCCCACUGCUUCUCCAAAUCACCCCAAUCCUACUUCCCACUGAAACUAACAAGAAGGGAAGGAAGGUGUUAACAAAUGAAGUCUUCGAAGGAAGUCACCCCAAGAAUCUGGGCCUACUAGUCAUUCCCUAAGGCUCAGCUCUUGGCAUUUGCUUCGUUCCCUGGGCCAUUAUUUUCAUACUGUGAAGAAAUUUCACCCUAGUCCCAUUUUGGAGAGCAAGUGUUGGUACAGUGCUGGGUAAAGACCCUGACACCAGGUCCUGGUCCCUGGCCCAGAGCAGGGGAUAUGAAGGGAAGCCCCACUCACUGUGUGCUCCCUCACUGACUCCUCAAAGGAAUUCCAGGAAGGGUGCUUUAGUGACCCUUUGGCUCACAGAGUUAGAGUGACCUGCCCAAGGCCACCCAGAGAAUGAAUGGUGGGACUGAGAUCACACCUGGGCCUGCCUGGCUGCCAAGCCUUUUGCUAUUUUCAUUAUUCCACAUUUCUUUCCAAGGAUACAGAAAGCAGGGAUAGGAAGUGCUGUGGAAACAAGCAAAAAGCCUUAUCCAUAGUCAGCAUCCAAAAAGUACUAUACCUUCUCUGACCCCUGCUUUAUUUAUUUGUUUAUUUUCAGGGAUGAUGUAAUAGCCAGAAAAAUAAGUGAACAGAAGAUUCCGGGUUCUACUUUAUGCCAAUUUUUCUUAAAUAUCUCAGUCACUAGAAAAAGAUCUAUUUGAAAAUCUUGCUCUGAGCAGUUUCUGUCUUGGGCCCAGUUGUUUGAGGAGCCUGUUGAAUUUUUAAAUUUAUUAGUGUUCCCAUGCUUCAUUCAUUGGCAUAUAUGUAUAUUCUCUAUACUUUAUAAUUACAAGUAAGCUCUUGAUAAUAAAAAGUAACUGUCAUUCUGUGAAGCUCUUUAAUGCAGCCAAAGAUAAUUUCAGGGGGCAAUUGGCAGUCUAAGUCCUUGCUUUCUCUCAUUUUAAAGGAGAACCAAAUCAACUUAGAGUGAAUUUGUUCAAAUGUGGGUAAGAUUUAACAGGCACUUCAGCUGCCCAGGGUACUUUUCCAUGUCUCUCCAACCAACCCCACCCAAAUAGCUUAGGAUUGGCAUUUUCUGAUGAGCACAGGGAUAGAGAAUGAGAACGGAGUCAGGUCCUCAGGUAUUCAAGGUUAGAAUUCCUUCUUAACCUUGCCCACUAUGCCCUAUGUGGGGACAUGCUACAGCAGAGAUCACUUGAGAAUUAUCCUGUGGCUCACACUGCCAUAAUUAGUUAUCUGUUCGGCACCUCUCAACUAAUCAGAACAAUGGCACAUCCAAAAGUAAAAGGAGAAGAAAGGAGACAAGAAUACAGCGACUGAAUAAUAAAA
rnacentral:lncRNA from 1 species